rnacentral:sRNA from 1 species
CACAGAGACACAGACAUAGAGAGAAAGAGAGGAGAGGAGAAGAGAAGAGAAGAGAGAAGAGAAAAGACCAAACAAGUAUGGAUUUUGAGAACUUUAUAGUUUGUUUGUUCGUUUUUUUUGUAGUAUUCUUUAUAUCCCCAUCACAUCUGGGCCCAGUACUUUCUUGAUUUCCAUGCCCACAGAAUGCUCCCAUAGCCGUUAAAGGACACCACUCUUUCCUUUGUGACNGCCACCCAAUCCUUGAGAAUUAUUAAAGUGUUCGCAUUAUUUUCCUUCUCCUUUUCCCACCCAACUCCCAAUCAAGAAAAAUACUUUAAACCAAAUUACUCGAAGGCUUAUGUCCCCAGCGAAUGUUCACAAAGCUUCUUUCCGUCCUCUGCUCCUCGAGAGUAAUCCAUAGUUGAGUAGAUCAGUAGCUCUGUUUGGCAGUAACUUACCAGUCAACAUCAUUCAUUCCAGCAACAUGGGAAGUAAUGAGAUGGCGAUGGGGUGUUAAGAGGUGGCAGUGAACACAGAGGUCAGUGGCUAUGAAACACAGCUCACAAGUGGGGAAUGAUUCUCUGUGGUGGAUGCUUGAUUAUUCCCUCCCAUCGGUGUUGUACUUUAUGCCUUUCCAAUCCACUUUGCCUCUUAUUUCUGACAAUCCCCCAAUAAAAACUACCUUUUCAUUUAUCUACGGAUCCAUGCCUUCCACACAGAGCAUUGCUAAAUAGGUUUCCUUGAUAAAUUGGAAUAUUUAUUUUAUUUUUUUAUUUUAUGCAGAUCAUGGUUUUGUAUAUAGUUUUCUUCCUACAAGUCAAAGUGUAAAUGUUCUUGGAAAUGAUUUUUUUUGCUUCAGUUUCCUACCAUAAAUGUUAAUAUUGACCUUUAGGUUGGAUGAAAAUUAUGACAGAAGAGGUGAGUUUUUUUUAAUUAGCAGCAGCAUGCUUUAUUCAAUAGUUCUGAUGAUUUGGUUUCCAGUGGUAUCAGUUGUCCAGCAGGUCAGGGAACCAUAUGUGUUUUGAAAUCACAUGAGGUUAUUUGCCAAAAGUGGGAUCAUCAUCUUUAGGGGAUCCCCAGACCCUUUUAUUAUCCAUUUAGCCUCAGAAUUUAAAUUGUGGCCAUAGAGCAGUGGAGAAAGAAGGAAAAGGGGAAGAGAUGGGAGGAAUAACUAUAACAAAAAUAGGAUUAUAAAUGCGUCCUGUAUUUAUGGUAAGAAUGAAAAGCAAAUUCAACUGAGGUCAUCCUUAACGGCGGUCCGCUUUGGUAUAGCACGGGGCUCCUAAUUUACUUUUUAUACUCUAGUCUUUCUUCAGACAUCACUAGCUUCCCAGCAACUAAGUCUUGUUGGGAUGUUUAGCAAAUCGGGCUCAUCGUUAAUAAAGACUUUUUUUAGGAAUUAUGAUUAAUGAACUUACUUUGAAAUAUCCUUACGUUUUUAAAGUAUGUGUUCAUGUCGGGGAAGGUUGUCUGCAUGAACGCAGUACUUGAAGCAGCUGGAAUAAAACAUUGGAACCCUGAGCUAGGGAACUUUGGCCUUGUGUCCUCCCGCCUUCCCUGGUCCUGGCUGCCUGCACAAGCAGAUUUCUACUCUCAGGCUCAUACUUCAUCCGCCUUGCAUUUCGUGCAAGCCCCACCCAAAGAAGCUGGGAAACCUGAAAUCACAUCUUCUUUGCUCUCCUUCUGUGCGGAGAGUUCUGUCAGCCUCUAGGACCUCAGCUUUUCAUUCUUCCACUCCAUGAUGAGCUUGUUGGCCAGGCCUUGUCUCUAGAGCCCGUGAAUAUUUUACUUCCCGUGGCAGAAGGAUUUUACAAAUGCAGUUAGGUAAAAUAUUAUUGAGAUGAGAAAUUAUCCUGGCGCACUCGGGUGGGCACGGCGAGACCACAGAAACUUCCGGGAGAGCUAAGGGAUGACAAGUGAGUGAGAAAGAGCUGCCCCUGGACACAGAUUGUGAGAUCAAAGUUAUCUGAGAAGAUAUAGAAAGGACACAUGAUGAUAGAUUUCUAGAAGGUAGAAGAGACAAGGGAAUGGGUUCUCUCCAGGAAUAAGGGUGGCCAUAAGCCUAAACCUUGAUUCAUUUUAGCUCUGCAAAACCAUUGUCUAACUUCUCGCUGGCAGAGCCCUAGGAUAACCAGUUGAUACUGUUGCGAGUUCCUGGGUGUGUGGCCUUUUGUUAUUUUGUUGCUGCUGCUUGGGAAUCUAAUUCAGUGUCUCCCUCUCUGCCUAUGAACCUCAGAGGUUAAUCAGAACUCUCAACGGCUCUGCUGUUGGUCAGUGCCUGGAGGAGGUGCCAGCUCUAAAUUCUUUGUUGCAUUUAGGCCUGAACGUGGAGGCUCAUCUGGAGUCCAUGGUAGACCCAUUUCCUCUGGAGCUUGGAGGGCCUUGACACAGACUUACAGGCCACACCUGCCUCUGAGCUUGUGUGUCACUGCAGGUGAACUUAGGCUUCGAGUUCAUAUCCUCCUGCAAUACCAGCAGAAUGCUUUCCCAGCACAUGCUGUGCACCAGGGCUUCUGUUCCACAGAGAAGCUAAGACAGUUUCUUGGUGCCAAAGUAAGGGGNUUUUUAAAUUAUCAUUAGUGCUAUUUACCAUGAACUUGGUGGGUGAGGGGAUUUUUGUCCUUUAUGUAGAUUGUCUCUGAAUCCUUGAAAAAUUUAUCCCCGGGGACUGAGGUCUUUGUUUCUUCCCAUUCUAAUGAUCUUGCACCUUUUAUUCUCUAUAAAUAGUUAUAGGGAAAGUUUUUCGCCGAUGAAACCCACCUACAACCUUAGAUCAGGCUCUUGCAGAAGCUGAAAUAAGGAAGGCUUAAGCGUCCUCAGUGUGACAUUGUGCAUCGUGGUAAAAGUGUACAGUCUGAACAAAGAGCCGGCUUCUUUUUACCUUGACGGUUUUAAAACCUCUUUGGGGGUUUCUAACAUGUGGGAAAGUUUCAAAGCAAUCAUCCCAAAACAUCUCUAUGAAUCACCACUCAAUUUCUGUUACACUAAAAAGGAAGUGAAAGUAUGAAAGGACACAUAAUUUAUUCAAUGUCAUACAAUGAGGGAAGGGCAGAGAGGGGAUCGGGUGCAAAGACAGAACCCACAGCAUAGCCUCUCCGUUGCCUUGGUUAGAGGUGAAUUCUAAAAUCACUGCAGAAUUGCUAUCCAACCUUCUAGCUGAGUAGGUGAAUUAAGGAAUAAAUGUAGAUAAGCUAUUUUGUAGAUAAGCUAAAUUAAAUUAAUCAAACUAAAAUGUUGACUAGUGUCAUUACUAAUUUUAAUUUGCACUGUGCUUUUGACAUACUGUCUGGUGUUCCUUUGUGAAUCCUGCCCCACCCCACACACCCAACACUUACCUUCUUACAUCUUUAAAGUCUGUAGUUAAAAUGCUAAAAGAAGAAAUAGUAGCAUUCUUCACUCUCCAUCAUUGUUUGAGCACUGCUUCUUUGCCCUAGAAUUCUUAGGCAUUUAACUUGCAAAAUUCAUGGCUGUAUUUUGAACAGCUGUGUGUUUUUUUAUAUUAAGAAAUUCAUCUUUAGGUAGCCCAGAGCUAAGUCAAUCUGAAAUGAUCAAAAUAAAUUUGAUUUGCCUCCACUUUUAAAAGAACUGCUUUGUUCGAGGAAUGGCUCUCUUUCACCAUUUAAAAUAAAUAUCCUUCCUCCUCAGAAUCUUUGAAAAGCUCAGUGGCAUUAUUUAUGUGGUCAUAUAGGGACUCCAGAGAGCAGACCUGCUAGUCCUUAUAGAAUCUGCAUCUUCCUUUACUGGCAGUGGAACCAACAAGGACAAAAGUAAUGGACUGAGUUGAGUUGCACCCCCUCUCCUCAAGCUAGACUCGGUCACCUGCUCCCAAUAUGCCAACUGGAUAAUGGUGACAGACAGAAGAGAGCGAUUCAAGAGCACAUCAGGAACAGGAUUAAUUAAAAGGGUCCACUGACCCUUCCAAGUUCAUCUCUAUGGUCGCAGCCUUGUCCUGUGGAUUGUGCCCUCACCUGGGGACAGUCAGGGGAGAGUCUAUCCUAUGAGUUCUGCUGUUUCUGAAGUCCAACACGACUGCAGAUUUAUUCAGUGAGUUAUCCCUGUACCUUCAGCCUUGGGGAGGGAUGAGAGAUGCCGAGACUGACGGUCCAUGAAUGGCGAAUAGGCCGUGAGUAGGUAACCCAUAGUUAAGGAGUCAGACACAGAACAAAAACAGGGAUGGUAGGCAUUUGUCCUGUGAUUAGUUAUCUUCUAAACACUCGUUUCAACAAUGGGGAAGUCCUCAGGUAUUAAUGGCAGUCAAGGCAGCAGUCACCUGAAGCCUAUUAUUCCACUAGAGGCGUACGACUCAGUGGCAGCCCAUCGUGGAGCUGCUAAAUGAAUGCUACAUGCAUCUAUGUUAUUCAUGUCUUUGUAUAUGCAGAGAAGAAUGGAAAACUAUAUACAUGCUUAUACUUUGCCUCCGUUUUUUCCCUGCCUGAGUGGCUUCUCUGGAUACAAGUCCACAGUAGGACGCAUGGUUCUCUUUGGAGAAAACAAGCAUGGUGUCUGAAAACUGUCAGGUGUACACCUCGUGCCAACCGACGCAGAACAGGAAGCCCUGUUGCCCUUACAGCUGUGUGCAUCGUUCUCGGGGAAUGGCGGGGCUAAAGAAAACUCAAGCAGCUCUCGGAAGUCUGUCAGGAAAGAUGGAAGACUUUUGAAACAUGUGCUCGCUCACCGUGAGGCAGCUCCUCAAACCACUCUGAAUCCGUUCUAACUUCCUUACAGUUGAAGCUGUCCUCAAGAGUUUAGUUACCACUGGUGAUCUCCCACAUCCCACACACAAAGACAUACUUGAAGGAAACGAAGACACUCCCUGCACUCCAUUUUAUGGGAGAGCGAGCUCUCAGUUAUGCUGGCUGGAAAACACACAUUUCCUGCUUGCAAUGGGUUGGAUUCCCAUGGCCUCGGGCAGGCAGAAAUCUUGAUGUAACCACUGCACCCUGGGAAGAAAGGCUCCCCAACCCCCACACACCUAAUUCUAAUUCUUUUCUAAUUCGGUCUGGAAUCUUCAAAGGGAAGUUAAAACUGAUCCAUACAGGGAAAUAUUGUGCAUUUAAGACAGGAAAGAACUCCGUUGUCAAUACAGAGCAGGCUGUUCAUUUUGCUAAAAAUAUGUAAGAGCUAAUUUGCCAGUAAAUCUGCGCUGGACUUUGCUUUAUCCUGAGACAUUUUUAUAUAGCACUGCCCUCAGUUGUUCCUUCCAUUCGUUUGUCAGGUUGAGCAUUUUUUUGGGAGAGCUUGUGGUCUUAAGGAAAUAAACUGUUUUUCUCUCCCUUUUUAAAAGCCACUUCAUGGAAGGCGAGACUUCAUUUCCUGAAAAUGAGUGUAGAAUAUCCCACUUAAUUACUUUUCCAGACUCUCAUCUUCCCAUGAAUCACGGUGUUCCAUAACUAAAACAUGUCUGAGUAGGCAGCAAGAGGAAAAGGAUUGAGGGAUGCAUGACCCUUUCUGAAGUUAUGGGAAGAAGACCUUGAACCACUACCCUCAGCCAAUAGCAUUGACACUUUAAACUAGCCAUGGCUCAGAAACAACCCAGGACCCAGCACUCUGCACUUAGCAUCUGUAUCAUACGGAUCCAGAAAAGCCUUUGAAACCAUAAACAUGGAAACUUAAUAACAUAAAUACCAAUCGAGCAACUUGACCAUUCUAGCAAUGCCCUAUAUGUCAUGGAGUUUGAGUUCCAGAGGCAAUGCAGCAUAUAAUCGAUCGUGUAACAAUCCUUCAUCAGGCCAUAUGUAUCAAUAAAGUCAUUGUUUCAUUUUAA